UACGUAGGGCGCAAGCGUUGUCCGGAAUUACUGGGCGUAAAGGGCGCGUAGGCGGCUUCGCUAGUUGGGCGUGAAAUGCCUGGGCUUAACCCAGGAAUUGCGCCCAAUACUUCGAGGCUCGAGUGUGGGAGAGGAUAGUGGAAUUCCCAGUGUAGAGGUGAAAUUCGUAGAUAUUGGGAAGAACACCAGCGGCGAAGGCGGCUAUCUGGACCACAACUGACGCUGAGGCGCGAAAGCGUGGGGAGCAAACAGG
rnacentral:rRNA from 1 species